rnacentral:rRNA from 1 species
GUCUUCUUGAUUUUUUUGGAAGUCUGGCCUGCCCAGUGAUGAGUUUAACGGCCGCGGUAUAUUGACCGUGCAAAGGUAGCAUAAUCAUUAGUCUUUUAAUAAAAGGCUGGAAUGAAAGGUUUAACGAAAAACUAUCUGUCUCAUUUAUAUAUUAAAAUUUAAUUUUUGAGUUAAAAAGCUUAAAUUUUGUUGGUGGACGAGAAGACCCUAUAGAGCUUUACAGUUAAUAAAUAUUAAUUUUAUAUGGUUUAUAAUUGGAUUUAAUUUUUAAUUCUGUUUUGUUGGGGUGACAAGAAAUAUUUAAUUAACUUUUAUUAUUUUGUGUACAUUAAUUUAUGGAAUUUGGAUCCAGUAUUAUUGAUCAUUAGACUAAGUUACCUUAGGGAUAACAGCGUAAUCUUCUUUAAGAGUUCAAAUCUACGGGAAGGCUUGCGACCUCGAUGUUGGAUUAAGAUUAUAAUUAGGUGUAGUAGCUUAAUUAAUAGGUCUGUUCGACCUUUAAAUUCUUACAUGAUCUGAGUUCAGACCGG